UCUCCGUUGGUGAACCAGCGCAGGGAUCAUUACUGGAAUCGCAAGAUCCCACAACCCUGUGAACCUACCGAAACGUUGCCUCGGCGGGUGCCCGGCCUCUGCGCCGGGCGCGGCGUCCGCCGGCGGCCCCCUACUCUGUCUCUGCAGCGUGGCAUCUCAGAGUCCCAGAAAACAAGUCAAAACUUUCAACAACGGAUCUCUUGGCUCUA
rnacentral:misc_RNA from 1 species